GAGUUUGAUUAUGGCUCAGGAUGAACGCUAGCUACAGGCUUAACACAUGCAAGUCGAGGGGCAGCAUGAAUAUUGGCUUGCCAAUAUUUGAUGGCGACCGGCGCACGGGUGAGUAACACGUAUCCAACCUUCCGGUUACUCGGGGAUAGGCUUUCGAAAGAAAGAUUAAUACCCGAUGUUGUGUAUCUUUCUCCUGAUUGAUACGCCAAAGGAUUCCGGUAACCGAUGGGGAUGCGUUCCAUUAGGCAGUUGGCGGGGUAACGGCCCACCAAACCUUCGAUGGAUAGGGGUUCUGAGAGGAAGGUCCCCCACAUUGGAACUGAGACACGGUCCAAACUCCUACGGGAGGCAGCAGUGAGGAAUAUUGGUCAAUGGACGGAAGUCUGAACCAGCCAAGUAGCGUGAAGGAUGACUGCCCUCUGGGUUGUAAACUUCUUUUAUACGGGAAUAACAUGAGGUACGGGUACCUUA
rnacentral:rRNA from 1 species